AUUGAACGCUGGCGGCAUGCUUUACACAUGCAAGUCGAACGGUAACAGGCCUUCGGGCGCUGACGAGUGGCGAACGGGUGAGUAACGCAUCGGAACGUGCCCAGUCGUGGGGGAUAACGCAGCGAAAGCUGUGCUAAUACCGCAUACGAUCUGCGGAUGAAAGCGGGGGACCUUAGGGCCUCGCGCGAUUGGAGCGGCCGAUGUCAGAUUAGGUAGUUGGUGGGGUAAAGGCCUACCAAGGCGACGAUCCGUAGCGGGUCUGAGAGGAUGAUCCGCCACACUGGGACUGAGACACGGCCCAGACUCCUACGGGAGGCAGCAGUGGGGAAUUUUGGACAAUGGGGGCAACCCUGAUCCAGCCAUGCCGCGUGAGUGAAGAAGGCC
rnacentral:rRNA from 1 species